UGUGCCAGCAGCCGCGGUAAUACAGAGGGUGCAAGCGUUAAUCGGAAUUACUGGGCGUAAAGCGAGCGUAGGUGGCUUGAUAAGUCAGAUGUGAAAGCCCCGGGCUUAACCUGGGAACGGCAUCUGAUACUGUUAGGCUAGAGUAGGUGAGAGGAAGGUAGAAUUCCAGGUGUAGCGGUGAAAUGCGUAGAGAUCUGGAGGAAUACCGAUGGCGAAGGCAGCCUUCUGGCAUCAUACUGACGCUGAGGUUCGAAAGCGUGGGUAGCAAACAGGAUUAGAUACCCUGGUAGUCCACGCCGUAAACGAUGUCUACUAGUCGUUGGGUCCCUUGAGGACUUAGUGACGCAGCUAACGCAAUAAGUAGACCGCCUGGGGAGUACGGCCGCAAGGUUAGAACUCAAAUGAAUUGACGGGGGCCCGCACAAGCGGUGGAGCAUGUGGUUUAAUUCGAUGCAACGCGAAGAACCUUACCUGGUCUUGACAUAUCUAGAAUCCUGCAGAGAUGCGGGAGUGCCUUCGGGAAUUAGAAUACAGGUGCUGCAUGGCUGUCGUCAGCUCGUGUCGUGAGAUGUUGGGUUAAGUCCCGCAACGAGCGCAACCCUUGUCCUUAGUUACCAGCGGUUUGGCCGGGAACUCUAAGGAUACUGCCAGUGACAAACUGGAGGAAGGCGGGGACGACGUCAAGUCAUCAUGGCCCUUACGACCAGGGCUACACACGUGCUACAAUGGUAGGUACAGAGGGCAGCUACACAGCGAUGUGAUGCGAAUCUCAAAAAGCCUAUCGUAGUCCAGAUUGGAGUCUGCAACUCGACUCCAUGAAGUAGGAAUCGCUAGUAAUCGCGGAUCAGAAUGCCGCGGUGAAUACGUUCCCGGGCCUUGUACACACCGCCCGUCACACCAUGGGAGUUGAUUGCACCAGAAGUGGUUAGCCUAACCUUUUAGGAAGGCGAUCACCACGGUGUGGUUGAUGACUGGGGUGAAGUCGUAACAAGGUAACCGA
rnacentral:rRNA from 1 species